CUGACAUCACGUUAGUACAGCUGUACGUGCACGUACUCGCGCUUGGGCGUGCGCGCGCUCUUCCGCAUGGCGCUGGCGGCGCGUUUGUGGAACAAAAUACACUUGCAGAAGCUGAGGAGCGGUGAUGAACCAGCUGAAGAAGCAGAAUAUCAGCAUGAAAGAACAGAUAUGAAAGAGCCGUUAGAGUAGGAGAAGAGGGCUGCCAAUGCUUGAAGUGCUAAAACGAGCAAACUAAUGGACCUGAGAAGGGACUUGGAAGGCUAGGAAUCGACUCUGGCAAAGCUAGAGAAGGAAAAACAGGAAACAACAUCAAAGUACACUAGAGUUCUUCUAAACUUGUCUGGAGAAAGAGGUCAGAGGUCAUGCUGAAGCUUUGAGGACCAAGAACAAAAUGGAGUCAGACUUGAAUGAAAUGGAGAUCCAGCUGGACAAUGGCUUUAAGAACAAUAGUGAGCAGGAAGAUCUUCAAGAGACUGUAACAGCAGAGCUUUGGCCCCACUUGUGUAUGAAAUUGUGUUUUGUAUGAAAUAGAAAUCUUUUGUAAUAAUGUAAGUCUUUACUUUUGAUCAAUUAAAUGCAUCCUUACUUAAUAUAAGUAUUAUAUUGUAUUUCUUAAAAAAAAAACAAAAAAAAACAAAACAAAAAAAAACUUUUUACUGACUCCAAACUUUUGAACUUCAAUUCAUAAGCAUUUGUGCACUCUAAAAAUGCCGGGUUAAAACAACCCAAGUUGGGUUAAAAAUGGACAAACCCAGCAAUUGGGUUGUUUUAACCCAGCAGCUGGGUUAAAUGUUUGACCAACCUGCUGGGUAGUUUUUUUUAACCCAACUAUUGUUUAAAAUUACUAUAUGGCUGGCUUAAAAUGAACACAAAAUGGGUUGGAAAUUAAAAAUCAGACACAUAAUUACUAGAGGCAACAAUAAUAAACAAAAGGUGAAUGUUUAUUAUUAUAAAAUGGUUAGUUCCUGUCCUUGAUUCUGAUUGGUCAAUAGCUGUGUUUUAUUUACGAUUCACCGAAUGGUUCUGUGUAUCACUACACAACACCCUUAGCAACCACUCUUAGCAACGUAAACUGUAUGUUCUCAGUUGAUAUUGUGCAUUGAAGCUUACUGUAUUAUGUAGAAGAGUGUUGUGAGAAAGAGAUCGAGUGAGCGAGCUUAUUACCUGCAUUCAGAUUUAGCACUUUCCUUCAGGUCAGUCCUUUGUUCCUAAUAAAAAAUCUGUUUAAAUAUCUGAUGUAUUAUCCUGUCCUUUUAACAGUUAAGGGGUUUUCCCGUGACUGACAGCGCUAGUCAAAGUAUUUGUCAGUAGCGUCUUGUUUUGUGUUCACAACAAUUCAGUCUUUUCAAUGUAAAAGUCUUCGCUACUGACUGACACAUUCAUAAAGACAGUCUUUGCCGCCAUCUAAUGGCGUAAUAAUGUAACUUCUGUUGCUGUUCACGGUCAGGGAC